rnacentral:rRNA from 1 species
GAUCAUGCUCAGGACGAACGCUGGCGGCGUGCUUAACACAUGCAAGUCGAACGGAGCACCCUUGAUUGAGGUUUCGGCCAAAUGAUAGGAAUGCUUAGUGGCGGACUGGUGAGUAACGCGUGAGGAACUUGCCUUUCAGAGGGGGACAACAGUUGGAAACGACUGCUAAUACCGCAUGACGCAUUUUGAUCGCAUGGUCGAAAUGCCAAAGAUUUAUCGCUGAAAGAUGG